CCUACGGGUGGCAGCAGUGAGGAAUAUUGGUCAAUGGGCGGGAGCCUGAACCAGCCAAGUCGCGUGAGGGAAGACGGUCCUAUGGAUUGUAAACCUCUUUAGGCGGGGAGCAAUGCCGGGCACGCGUGCCCGGACUGAGAGUACCUGAAGAAAAAGCAUCGGCUAACUCCGUGCCAGCAGCCGCGGUAAUACGGAGGAUGCGAGCGUUAUCCGGAUUUAUUGGGUUUAAAGGGUGCGUAGGCGGAAUGCCAAGUCAGCGGUAAAAUCGCGGGGCUCAACCUCGCUCCGCCGUUGAAACUGGCGUUCUUGAGUGGGCGAGAAGUAUGCGGAAUGCGUGGUGUAGCGGUGAAAUGCAUAGAUAUCACGCAGAACUCCGAUUGCGAAGGCAGCAUACCGGCGCCCAACUGACGCUGAAGCACGAAAGCGUGGGUAUCGAACAGGAUUAGAUACCCUUGUAGUC
rnacentral:rRNA from 1 species